rnacentral:rRNA from 1 species
GACGAACGCUGGCGGCGUGCUUAACACAUGCAAGUCGAACGGAAAGGCCCUGCUUUUUUGGGGUGCUCGAGUGGCGAACGGGUGAGUAACACGUGAGUAACCUGCCCUUGACUUUGGGAUAUCUUCAGGAAACUGGGGCUUAUACAGGAUAGGAACUCCUGCUUCAUAGUGUGGGUUGGCAAGUUUCGGUGGUUGGGGAUGGACUCGCGGCUUAUCAGCUUGUUGGUGGGGUAGUGGUUUACAAUGGCUUUGACGGGUAGCCGGCCUGAGAGGGUGACCGGCCACAUUGGGACUGAGAUACAGCCCAGACUCCGACGGGAGGCAGCAGUGGGGAAUAUGGCACAAGGGGCGGAAGCCUGAUGCAGCAACGCCGCGUGCGGGAGGACGGCCUUCGGGUUGUAAACCGCUUUCGCCUGUGACGAAGCGCGAGUGACGGUAAUGGGUAAAGAAGCACCGGCUAACUACGUG